rnacentral:lncRNA from 1 species
AAAGGGUGAUUUGUGGUGCCCUGCCUGCCUGGUCCUCUGUGAUGGACACCCUCAACUGCUUGGCCAAAGCUGGGCUGGUUUGAGGAGAUAAAGGCCUGGGCUGUCGGCAGGUCGUGAACUGCUCUGGUUUCACGGUGUUCUUUGAAAACCCCCACAGGAACAGGGUGACACGGCCGGCUUUGAUGUGUGUGAGCCUGUAAAGCGAGCAGCGAUCAUGCGAUUAACACAUGAAUAGCAGGUGGUUCUUCCAGCGCUAAUUUGGUCAAGGAACAAAGGAGCUUGUGGGUACAAGGAGUCUCGCAACCUUUUUCAUCACUUGUAAUUUGACUGCGAGCCAAUUGCUUUUUAUUCCAUAAAUAUGACAGCCUGAGUGAGCCUUUUUUGAGCUGGCCCUGCUGAGCAGCUGCCGGGAUGGGGGGAUCUGCCCAGGAGCUGGAGCCUCACAAGGUCACUCAAGGGCUGAGAGACCCUUGCCAAGGGCAGAUGUGGGGCAGUGCAGGGUAGGGGGAUGGAAGGAGCUGUCACUUCCCACUGAGGGCACAGCAGUUAAUUCCUGGGAGGUGCUGCCUUUCCUCCUUUCCCUGGUGGAGCUGAGCUUGCUGUGCAGAGCUGUUGUUUCAGGACAUAGCUGUGAUGUUUCCUAUGGGAAUAGAGGAAUAUUCCUGCUAUGGUGGACACUGACAUUCCUCUUAUCCUUGUGUGGAAAGUGCUACAGUGAUGUUCAGCAGCCUGAAACCCUGAAACAGAUGCUGGACAGGACUUUGCUCCAGUGGCUGGCAAAGUUGGAGUCCAUGGAGCACAGGUUUUGGAGAACCACAGUGGUAUGGACAGGACCAUUACAGACCAAAUCUGUGUGGCUAGAGCAGCCCACCAUCCCCAUGUGUGUAGGAGAUGCUCCUUUCUGUUACCCCAAGAGCUGAAGAGUCACAGGGGAGAACUUGAAGGGGAAGGAGCUUUCUGAGAAAGAGGAGGAUUUGGACAAGGGUGGGUGUAUUUUCACUUCCAGUAAUAUGUGAAUAUCAAGUCUUUGCCACCUCCUGGGAAGAACCUGUUUGCCCAGUUCCUAGAGGGAGCUUUGGGGCCAAGUUUUAUCCCAGAUUAUAGCUGCAAGUCUCAAAAAGUCACCAGGAACAGACUGGAGAAGAAACCAGCUCCUCACCUGCCUGAAGGCUCACUGCAAUUCUUCUCAGAGUUCUCCUACAGCACUGGCUUGUUUUCCCUCCCUCCUGGGGAGGUGGGAGACAGUCUUCCAGUUGUGGAGAACAGCACAGCACAUUUCCCUUCAGGAACAGCUUUGGCUGUUCUGGAGCCUCCAGCACACACAGAUAGAACGCUGUUCCAGCAAACA